GACGAACGCUGGCGGCGCGCUUAACACAUGCAAGUCGAGCGAUGAAAUUUCGACAGAUCCCUUCGGGGUGAAGAUGAAAUGGAUUAGCGGCGGACGGGUGAGUAACACUUGAGUAACCUGCCUUUGACAUUGGGAUAGCCCCGGGAAACUGGGAUUAAUACCAAAUGACACUAACUGAUCACAUGAUCAAUUAGUCAAAGAAAUUCGGUCAAAGAUGGACUCGCGGCUGAUUAGCUAGUUGGUGAGGUAACGGCCCACCAAGGCGACGAUCAGUAGCCGGCCUGAGAGGGUGAUCGGCCACAUUGGAACUGAGACACGGUCCAAACUCCUACGGGAGGCAGCAGUGGGGAAUAUUGCACAAUGGGGGAAACCCUGAUGCAGCGACGCCGCGUGAGCGAAGAAGGCCUUCGGGUCGUAAAGCUCUUUUAUGAGGGAAGAUAAUGACGGUACCUCAAGAAAAAGCCCCGGCUAACUACGUG
rnacentral:rRNA from 1 species